GGGGAAUAUUGGGCAAUGUGCGAAAGCCUGACCCAGCAACGCCGCGUGAGGGAAGAAGGUCUUCGGAUUGUAAACCUUUGUCCUAUGGGACGAAACAAAUGACGGUACCAUAGGAGGAAGCUCCGGCUAACUACGCGCCAGCAGCCGCGGUAAUACGUAGGGAGCAAGCGUUGUCCGGAAUUACUGGGCGUAAAGGGUGCGUAGGUGGCCAAAUAAGUCAGGUGUGAAAGACCGGGGCUCAACCGUAGUAAGCUCUUGAAACUGGGAAACUUGAGUGCAGGAGAGGAAAGUGGAAUUCCUAGUGUAGCGGUGAAAUGCGUAGAUAUUAGGAGGAACACCAGUAGCGAAGGCGACUUUCUGGACUACAACUGACGUUGAGGCACGAAAGCGUGGGGAGCAAACA
rnacentral:rRNA from 2 species